UUUUUGAUCAAUUUUGUCCUUAUGUUUUUGCAUCUUUCGGGUUUAAUUUUUGAGUUAAGUUAAAUCCCAGGUUAUAUCUUCAUCACGGUAUGUCAAUUUGCAUUGUUAAUUUCUAUGAUAACAUCUCCGAUACAUAUUACAAGGUUGAAAUUAAUAUGUUUCUUUUUUUAUUAAUAUGUAAGAUGGAGCUUCGAACAUCAUCCACCGAAAAGAGGUGGGACAAAAUGCAAGUCCAUUAAAAUCGGGUCAAGCUGAGGUGCUAUCAAAUUGCAUAAAACUACAACGGUUGAAAUAGAAAAAGUUUCAAUUUUGUUAGGAUUUACUUACAGGUCGUUGACAUGGUUUGUGCAGGGCAGGUUGCCAAAAAGCAUUUGUCUUUGAACUAAAUGUUUACACAUAAGCUCUUACUUCCAAUUAUGUUAAAUAAAUUGUAUAUGUUCUAAGUUUUGAGUGAUGUUUAGGUCCUUUUGUAUUACGAUAAUACAAGGAAUUUGAUACAUUUGUAUGUUCUAACAACAUUGUGGAUCUCACAUGCUUAGGAAAAGAAAGGAUGUUGCCAUUUGUUGAUCUCAUAUGCUUCGGUGGAACUGAGGAAGCACCGGCUGAAUAACACUAAAAGUGAUGGUUAUCGAGAUCAGGUGCAUGCUACAUGAUUUUGCAGGAAAUGUUGAGAUAUAUGGUGUUUUAGAUUUUGUAGGAUCGGGACCUAUUGAAGCCCGUGUUACCAAGAACUCAACAAAGGCGGUUUUUGCUUAAGAAUGUGUGGAGAGGCAAAACUUGGAAGGUUGCUUGCAAUAAUUAGUCCAUCUGGUGGAUCAGGGAAGACAACUCUCCCCAGUCACAAGUGCAGGAUCCGUUGUUAGGUGAUAACAAGAAAGAAGACAUUCCAGAUCCAUUGUUAGGUGACAAUGAUGAUCAACAUUAAGAUGAAGGUGUUCAGAAGCCUCAGAAGACAACAAACAUCAAUGCUCCAGUGAUGGUUGAAGUGAGUGAAACUGAUCCCAUUGAGUUAUCUUUCACAGUUAAAUAAGUACGGGUACGUGUCGUCAAUAAGUUAUCUUUACCUUUUAAAUCUGAAGGUAGCAUCCAUAUCAUCUAAUAAUUUGGUGGGAAUUCAAGCAUUAUGGAUAAUGUUGUGAACGCAAGGUAAUAAGCCUCUAUAUAUAGGAUGUCUGGUCGUGUGUUUUGAAAGUAAUUAUGUGAUAUUACAUAUCAUUUGCUAGUGUUAUGUAGAAGGUAUACAUCUCUGUUUAUGUAAAUCAAGGUGAUAGAGAUGGGAAAAUCGCAACCAUAAGGUAUACUAAUUUGUUGUGAUUUCACACUUCCCCAUGAAUUAUACAUCGCCAGUACUACUCACUAAUCAAACUUCAUUCAUAAUGUAUUAUUAUUCUUUUUUAUGUGGGUAGCAUGUAUCUUGUAAUAUAUUUCUUAUUUGGAGGAUUUGUCAAGCAUAGGCAGGUUUGAUUGUCUAAUUUUUAAUCAUAUUUUGUAUACUAAUUAUUCAACCUUAUUAAUUGAUUUCUAUUUGAACAAGAAAAUGGAUUUCUUGAUGAAGUGUUUAAAUUCACACCUAAGAAAAAGCUUCUAUAAAGCGCUGAUCAUGUUUCAGGGAUGGUCAAGGUUUGAUCCUCUUCUUUAACUCAUGUUAGUUAUAAUAUAUAGUAACAAAAUUCCAACAUCAAACAUUUUUUAUCUCAAAGGAGGUGCAGAUCUCCUAACUCCAUUUUUAAAAAGGUAAGGGCAGUUUCUGAACAAGCAGUGAAUGAUGUCUCCUGUAGACAGACUCUAUAAUAUCUACAUAGUGUUUGUUAAUAUUUUUAUAAAAAAACGUUGUAAAUAUUGUGAUAAUGUUUUUGGUUGCAGGAUAGAAACGUCGGGCACUAUGCAUCCAGGAUAGGCGAGGAUUAAAGGACGCAACAUCAAAAUAUGCUGGUGUGGGUUAAUGAGUCCUCAACCAAGAUGAUUGCUAAAAGGAUUACCAUGUUUAGUUAGAAAUUCAUUUAUGCAAUUACAAUGAAAACUUUAGAUCAUUGCAUCUUACUUGCGUUGUUUGCCUAUUAUCUAAUAAGUUCCCGUGUACAAAAUGAUCCCUGUAUGUAAUGUUUUUUAGAAUUAAAAAGUAAUUUAGUCUC